AGCAUGGGAUGCUGGCUGUGCUGUAUUAUCCCCAGGCCAGGAGGACAGGCCCACAAAUGGAAGAUGACUUGUUCAUAGCAGAGGCUGCCAACCUGGGUGUGGAAUUUGCAGGUGACCUCACAAACUCCAGUAGCCAACAUGCUGUGGCACGUGCCCAAGUCUUAAAGCAGUAGCCCCAAGAGGGCCGCAAAUCCUUUGUCAGACUGUCCUGAAAUGCAUCAGGAGCCUCUACGGACUUGGCAGGCCUGGAAGCAGCGUCGUCCCCAUGGUAAGGUGGAUCCCACCCUGCAGGUGUGUCUCUUUGCUCCCAGGAGUUGUUCUGUGACCAGGAAGAUAAAGAGGUCCAGGGAGUGCACUUCACGUACUCCCCUCCCUGCCUGCAGAGCACAAUCACUCCCAGAGCCAAUCUGCAGGCCUACAAGCAGACACAAGUUUCAGUUUCUGAUGCCUGUGCACAUGUGCAAGGUGAAGUAUCUGACCCCAUGGAGGAACCUCUCAUGAUCAGUGGCCCAUGGCACGCAGAGGCUCCAUUGGGAGGUGGAUUUAGGUAUUCCACCUGGAAGGAGACCAAACGGGCUGAGUGUCUGAACCAAGAGCAGUCUGAACUAGCACCUCACACUGCUGGACUGGACUAGGGGGGAUCAUUCUUGAGGACCACUAUCCUGGGGUGGUCUUAACUCGGGGCUCUGGCAUGUGGUCUGUUGGCAAAUGCACUGGCCAGCCUGGUGUGUGGCUUAUGGCAUCUCCCGUGACUCUCCAGC